AUCAAAAUACUAUUUACAACGAAUCAUCAAGUUGAAAUUAUUAGCCCUGACAGGAAAAACUGUAUAUUUACGACAAACGUUUCUUAAGGACCAAACCUGCUUAUAGUGUUUAGUCGGAAAUGAAAUACCAUACUUUCAUAUACGGUAAUACGAAUACAAUCUACAAAUCACAAAGGAUAUUGAAAGGAUAGGGCUAAGGACCCCAUGUAAAGCUUCAUUUUAUGCGACUGAUUGAUUUAAUUUUAGCCGAGUUUUAGGAAUUCAAACAAAACUCAAGCCAAUUGCUCAGGCCAGUCAUAAAUCUCCUACUAGGUGGAGGGUUUGAUUCUUCGCGCUUGUUAGUAAGAUAAGAUUCUAUGAAUAUAAAAUUCAUUUUUAUUAAUGAAAACAAGCAAAUUUACUAUGAAGGCUUUACGUUUCGUUACUAUUGGUAGUAGUCACAUUUUUGAGUUGCACGAGCGAAGCAUCUUUGGUCUUCAAAUACUCGAAAAUGCCGAAACAACAAUCUUCCAAGGACAACAAUAGAAAUACCAGAAUGAUUAUUACAUUAGAAAAUAUAACAGCAUAUUU